rnacentral:lncRNA from 1 species
GAGGACAAAGUGGAUGUGGGGAACCUGGACUCCGUGCUGGCCAACAUGGGGAUCCAUUUGACCCAGGAGGAGCUGCAGGAGGCGCUCAAGCACAGCCCCGUUGACAGAGACGGGACCGUCGGCCUGAGCACAUUUAUGAAGAGCGUGAUGAAUACGCGGAGACCGUCCCAGGCGGAGAGGGAUAAAGUGGAUCUCCAGAACCUGGAUGACAUCGUGGGUAGCAUGGGGGUCCAUUUACCCAGUGAGGAGCUGCAAGAGGCACUGAAACAUGUGACGGUUGAUGGUUUGUAUUUCGAAU